rfam:Parcubacteria bacterium GW2011_GWA1_60_11 TZ00_C0005, whole genome shotgun sequence.
UAGAAAUAUUCACCCAGAUUCUAGAUAUUAGAUUCUAGAUUUUCGUAACAUAAUGAGCGCAAUUCCUUUUCAGGUAAGUUCUGAAGCGCACGAAAGGCGUAACGACUGGAGAACUGUCUCAACGAAAAGCCCGAUGAAAAUGCAGAUCCCGUGAAGACGCGGGAUACCCGCAGCAAGACGAAAAGACCCCGGGAGCUUUACUGUAGCUUGGUAUUGGCUUUAAAAAUUAAAUGCGUAGCGUAGUGGGUAGGGUUUGAAGUUCGCCUUUCGGGGCGGAUGGACCCGACAAUGAAACACCCAUCUUUUGAGUUUUAAAUUCUAACCUCGCCGGCAAAACCGGCGGGAGACAGUGCCUGGUGGGCAGUUUAAAUGGGGCAUUUUCCUCCUAAAGAGUAACGGAGGAGUUUAUCAAGGUCGGCUUAGCCCGGAUGGAAAUCGGGCUGGACGUGUAAAGGCACAAGCCGGCUUAACUGCGAGACCUACAAGUCGAGCAGAUGCGAAAGCAGAACUUAGUGACCCGACGGUUCUUCAUAGGAAGGCCGGAGACAACGGACAAAAGUUACCCCGGGGAUAACAGGCUGGUCUUGCCCGAGAGUUCCUAUCGACGGCAAGGCUCGGCACCUCGAUGUCGGCUCGCCCUAGCGCGGGGCUGGAGAAGGUCCCAAGCGUUUGGCUGUUCGCCAAUUAAAAGGGCACGCGAGCUGGGUUCAGACCGUCAACACCUGAACCAGGAGACAUCGAACACGGCGGCUUUCCCGAGUGAUCGGGAUCGAAUAAAUCGACUCAUAUCGGUGAAGUCCUAUCAUGGUGAAACAACCUGUCAUAUGGUAGGAUAAUACCGAGGGAAGUCGUACAUGCUUCGUCCAACACAACAGGCAUAUAUUGCAGGAUUUCUGGAUGGUGACGGCAGUAUCUAUGUUCGGCUUAAACCGAAUCCGACGUAUCGGUACGGAUUUCAAGUUGCGCCCUACAUAGUUCUCUACCAGUCCCAGAAGAGCAGGGAUGAAUUCGAGAGAAUUUGUUCCCUGAUCGGAUCAGGGCAUCUGCGUGUGCGAAGCGACGGCAUUCUCGAAUAUAUCGUCGAGAGAGCCGGACCGCUUAAGGAGCUUCUCAGAAUGGUCAAACCAUUCGUGUUGCUCAAGCGCAAGCAAGUGAACUUGAUGACCGAAAUCCUCGAUAAAAAAGAGCGCGUAAAGUCAAAAGAAGAUUUUGCUGCGCUCGCCUCGUUGAUUGAUCGCUUCCGCGAGUUGAACUAUUCGAAGAAGCGUAAGAAGCGUGUAUUGACCCCGUAGAGACUUGCUCACAGGAGCAGAGUGUCCCGCCAUGACGGGAUGCUAAGACGUCGAUCUCGUGAGACAGGUUGGUCUCUAUCUGUUGCAGGCGUUGAUACUUGCGGGGAGUUGGCCCUAGUACGAGAGGACUGGGCUGAACGUACCUCUGGUCUACCGGCUUUGCCACCAGGCGAACCGCCGGGUAGCUAUGUAUGGACGGGAUAAGCGCUGAAAGCAUCUAAGCACGAAGCCCACCCCAAGAUUAGGUAUCGUCCGAAAGGACAAGAUCUCCUCGAAGACUACGAGGCUGAUAGGCUCUAGGUGUGCGCACCGUAAGGUGUUUAGCCAAGGAGUACUAAUGAUCUCCCGACCAUUCCAA